UAAUCUUCAACGGCAGCAACAAACCUCUCUGUUCACAUGUUUUUAUGUAGGAUUUCAAUCUGGCCGUUCCUCUUUUUCCAGUUGCUAAACGUCAGACCUCUUGAACUUUGACAGUUGCCUGAGUUCAGGAGGUUUUGACGUUUAGCAAUUGCGCCCUGAUUUCCAGUAAGAGCUGAGUUGGUCAUCUCUUGAUCUCUGAAGCUGCCUUGGCUAAACAGUUCGCUAUCUAAAGAUAAUAUUAGGAACUGGGAUAAAGACUGUUGAGCUAGGGCUUAUCACAUGGUAGAAAGGAAAACGAUUGAAAAUUUGACUAUAAAAUAAAAAAGGAUUUGUGAUGACUGGGGUCUUCAUGAUGAUAAAAUGUUAGUAUUCACAAUCACGGGCGAGGAAAUUGAUGCAUGGAUAGAAGUUCGUGACAUCUUGAAACCUCUUUUGUGAGUAACACAGGAAGUUUGUUAUGAAAAAUUUGUAUCAUUAAGCAAGACAAUUAAAUUGUCUCAAGAAAUCGAAACAAAGUACGGUAAUAUUGAAUCUGUUAAGCUAUACGCUUGUGCAACUUUAGUAGAUCCUCCAUAUAAAAAGUUCGAAUUUCAAAGUAUUCGGGAUUCUGCUCGAGCGAUAACCAAUAUUGUGUAGCUAAGCUUGUUAAAACUGAGCGAAAAUUAGCAUUGGCGACAAUAGCAACUACGGCAAAUACUGACCUGAGAAUCUCAGAAACCAAACUAUAAUGAUGAUUACAUAUAGUCCUAUAUUGAUAACGCCGUGAGUUGCAGUUAUAAUCAUGUUUAUUCUGAUGAAGCCGGAGGACUGCCGAUACAGUUGCGUCAAUAUUUGACACGACCUGCUGCAAAUCGGAAACAAAACCCUAACCCCUUGAUUUUGUGGGAAACGGGAUAGCUAACGGCUCAGUAUACAGCUCCUUUACUGAUUCCAAAAGUGCAUCAUGUGGCCCCAUCUCGGAAGACGUAGGUCCUCCAACCAAAUGGUUAUGGUUCUCUAUGAAGCGCUCAAAAUGUGAUUUAAGCGACUUCAGGUCGUGAAAACACCAGACCUUCCAUGGCACCUUCUGAGACUCAUGCAUGUAAGUAUGUGCUUUAUUGCUUUCUCCGCCGAUAAACGCCAAUUGAGCUUCGCCAUGAAACCACACAACCACAAAAAAUUAUAAAAUAUUUGUGCUCAUAGAAGGCACCAAAAUGUUAAAUAAUUAAUUUACCAGCGGGUAGAGUUCUCAAGACUUUAUUGGGAUUUGUACGAAUAUGAACGGUGAGCCAGAGACGAGUACAAUCAGCACAGUGUUACAAUCAGAGAAGAGAUUUAUAGGAGUUCAACGGAAUUAAAAAUACCGUAACUUUAAAUAUGAAUAAAGAAAUUAAUGAUAAAAGAGAGGUGACAAAUAUAAAACUUAGAUAAAAUAGUAUUGCCAGAUCAGAGUUGACAUUAUUAGAAAAUAAACUUAAACUAAUGUAAAUAAUCCUA